rnacentral:tRNA from 1 species
GCCCGGAUGGUCUAGUGGUAUGAUUCUCGCUUGUAAGCUACCCUCAUUAACUGUUCCAUCAACGUCUUAAAUACUAAUAAUUCUUCCAGUGGGCUACAAUAGUACCAAUCUGCGAGAGGCCCCGCGUUCGAACCGCGGUUCGGGCC